GGGCAAUAGCUGCUCCUUCAUCUUGUUAAUAAACAUGGUGUUGUCAAUCUGUCCCGAGACGGUGGGCACUGCUGGCCAGAAGUACGGAGAGGAGUUGAAAUGAGAUUCUUCCAUCCUAGUUUACCAGAACUCUGCACGCAACCCUUCCAAUUGCUCUAUAACUAUCCCACAUGGGCUGGAGCUUCAACCCUGUACCACAGCACGUUCCCACUGCAGGGCCUUCAUCAUCCCAGCUUCCACAAACGGGCCAGAGAUGGGACCUUCUUCCUAUUCACCAGUCUAGUAUCAGACAGAUGUCAAUGUACCCU
rnacentral:lncRNA from 1 species